AUCACCGACAAAUGACAAAUAAUAACAGGCAAUGUGUAACAGAACAAACAUCGCAAGAAAGUUAACAUAAGCUGAGUCAGGUACUGUCUGUCAUCAUGGGCUGCACACACGCAUGUUGCAGGUCACCAGGUAAAGGUGGUCAGCACGUGGCGAGGGAUGUUGACGCAUGGGUUCGAAGCCUGUCACAGACCACCUUAAAACGCGUCUCGUUAUCUUUUGUUUUCGAUCACUCUUUAGGUGGCGUCACGCGCGCCUGGCAGUCAGCGGCCGGCCUCUGGGCCAUAAGGUCAUACUUGACAUUCUUGUUAUUAUGCCGGAGAUAUUUUACACAGUGUUUGCUGUUAUCCUUGGAUUUGGACAUUACUACAUGUGCUAGCGCACCACCCUAGCACAGAGGUUUGUCGAAAGUAACACUUGCUUAACAUGUUUCAUAAAAGAAAAAAUCGUAUGUGGCGUGCAAAAUGAUCAUCUUAAAAGAACAUGUUCAGGCAAGACAGAGCUUACACAGGAGCCGCAAAGCGUUCGUUUCACCCCACCGACCCAUCCAAACCCGCGAAGGCCUGGGCCCGCCUCGCCGCAGCCGUGGUGUUUGUUUCACAGGCGAUGUCGUGGUGGCUUGCGGCGGUGGUGGUGGUCGUGCUGUGCCCCGCAGUGACGACCCCUGCUCCUUGCACCUCAGGGGACGCAGACUACGAUCAUGACGAAGUGUUGCGUAAAUCCCUGCGGUUCUACGAGGCCCAGCGCUCCGGGUUCCUCCCCAACUCGCAGAGAGUGACAUGGAGGCGAGACUCUGCCACAGACGACGCCAUUGACCCUGACACGAAUGAUGACGUGGAGGAAAUCUACUUUAAUGAGAUUGUGAUAACCGGCCUGACCCAGGACACUGUGGAGGACGCCGAGGUUUACAAGGCAGCAGGUGGGCUCUCUCUCUCUCUCUCUCUCUCACGCACUUGUACAAGCAGGCUAAGAAGCACACAUGCCAGCAGGGUGUUCAAGUGUUCCAUACUCGUCCGUCACUCAUACUUGUCUCUUCCGCGAGCACAAAAUGAAGAGACUCUGUCCUUUCCAGGUGAUUGAUACUGCUCUGUUGUUCGAAGCUGUGGAUCGGAGCAGGGCGAGACAGCGAGGCCAGCCAUUCAUUAGUUUCUGCUUGGACUCUGUGGGUGUCACGCUGAAUCCAGCUCUCGCACAUUCAUCGUCAGUUUUAGAUUGGAUGCGGUUACUGCUUUGGCUUCCAAUACCACAUCUUCCACAACUCUUCCCGAGGACACGAUGUAAACAAACCAGCGGGCGGCUGGACAAGACCAACCUGUCGGUCUUAUUGGCGCGGCUGGCAAUUCAGCCGCCAGGCAUGAAAGUCCAGCAGCCGGGGUUACGCGGCUUGCGGCGGCUGGCAAUUCAGCAGCGAAUUGUCAGGUGUGAACCCGUCUUAAAGACUCAAGAGGGAAACAACCUAUGCUGGAACUAGAAUGAAAUGAAAACUACAGAACAAGAAAAGAACAAGACAUUUGUCUUUUGCGCGCGCUGUGUUGAAGCCUGGCACUCCUUUCCAUCACUGACACACUCACCUAAGUACAGUAUGAAAUCAUGCUAUUGAUGCUGAAUGAAAAUUGUAAUAAGUGAAAUCAAGGUAGAAGUUUACUUGAGUUUAUGUUAUGAUUUAACUUUGAGAAAAUGGAAAUUUAAGUACCAAGAAGAAAAUGCAGAGUAGUUUAUCGUAGACUAUGUUCUUUCCACUAUUAUUCGUAUUACUCUUCAUGUUGUUGUUGUUGUUAAUAUUGUUGUUGUUUCUUCUUCUUCUUCUUCUUCUUCUUCUUCUUCUUCUUCUUCUUUAUUAUCAUUGUUAUCAUAAUCUUUAUUAUCAUGUUCUUAUUGUCAUUGUUCAACUUAUUUUUGUUCUUCUUUGUACUUAGUUUAUCGUCCUCCUUCUUCUCUUCCUCAUUUUGCCUCUUUCUUCUUUGGGCUCUUUAUAAACAAACAAAAUACUUAUUAGCUAAUCACGAAUCGAUUAAUUUCACACACACACACACACACACACAGAAAAUGGGAGACGUAACAAAAGAGCUUUACUUUAGUAUAGUUAGAAACUCUCUCUCUCUCUCUCUCUCUCUCUCUCUCUCUCUCUCUCUCUCUCAGGUAACAAUGGAAGGUUCGUAAUAACGCUGAAGCACGAAGCGUAAACUUUUGAAACACUUUAGCUGAGUGAGGCUUGAUAGAAUGGUGUGUGUGUGUGUGUGUGUGUGUGUGUGUGUGUGUCCGCAGAAAUAUUAUGAUGCAGUGCUUUGUUCCGUGUGUGUGUGUGUGUGUGUGUGUGUGUGUGUGUUACUGUCUUAUUUAUUUAUUUUUUU